AUUGAACGCUGGCGGCAGGCCUAACACAUGCAAGUCGAGCGGAUGAACGGUGAUAGCUCCUUGAUUCGGCGGCGGACGGGUGAGUAGUGCCUGAGAAUCUGGCUGUUAGUGUGUGAUAAGGUCCUGACACGGGGACUAAUACGGCAUACCUGCAUAGGUAGAAAGUGGGGGAUCAUCGGAACUUACGCUAUCGAACGAGCCUAGGUCGGAUUAGCUAGUUGGUGGGGUAAAGGCCUACCAAGGCGACGAUCCGUAACUGGUCUGAGAGGAUGAUCAGUCACACUGGAACUGAGACACGGUCCAGACUCCUACGGGAGGCAGCAGUGGGGAAUAUUGGACAAUGGGCGAAAGCCUGAUCCAGCCAUGCCGCGUGUGUGAAGAAGGUCUUCGGAUUGUAAAGCACUUUAGGUUGGGAGGAAGGGCAGUAAGUUAAUACCUUGCUGUUUUGACGGUACCAAAAGAAUAAGCACCGGCUAACUUCGUG
rnacentral:rRNA from 1 species